UUUGCAUAAUCUGAGUUAUAAAUGGGUUAAUAAAAAGACUGGAGGUUUAGGUACCAAGGCGUCAGUGAUUGAGGAGACCAAUGGAUGAACUGAGGUUUACAAACCAAGGCGUCAAGUAAUUGACUAGACCAACGGCAUGAGAUUGUGGUGAUAACUGCAAUCUCAUGCGAGUUUUUGCAGGGUGGAUCAAAGGUCAAGACUAUUGGAAUAAUUAUUUUUAUAUGAAAUAUUUGUUAUGUUGGAGAAGACAAUAAUUAUGUAUUUAUUAAGUGCCGCAUGUGGCACAUAUGUUAUUAUUUUGGAUGUAAUUAUUAUAUCAGAACAAAAGGUUAUUAUUUUUAUAAAUUGAGAUUAUCUAGUCAGCUCU